AAAUUAUAUAGCCUGUUGUCUUUUAUUUAGAAUAUAAGCUGGUUUUGAUCUCGAAAACAACACGCAAUGAAUAUUAACAGCUUGUCUAUGACCAUAGUUCUUUUACUAUUCUCAAAUUCCAUGGAAAGUACGUCUUUCCAACGAUGCGAUCCAGUACCCAGAUAUCUCGACAAGAUAUACCAAAGUUUAACGAUAGGACGAAACUGCUCUGGGAUAAAUAAAGGGCUGUGUCUAACUACUAGCUCAGGUAAGCCGAAAUAACACCUGUUUUGUAAAUACAAAUUUACAGCCAUGCAUGUUCUCAUGAAGUGAUAAAAAUCAUUCGUUUUCAAGUUUAAU